UUUUCGUCAAUAGCUUUGCCCUGUUUUUACGAAACCAAUUAUAAUACAAUUUGGGAUUUGAUUUUGAUCAUUUUGGAUAUAUAGACGUGUGGUAGCAGUAGUAUUGGGUAGUGGUUGGUAGUAGAGAAUGAAUAGAUGUAUAUAGAAUUAAAUAUCAAGAGCCAAUUAUAAACUAAACCCAUCUAAUGUACUUAGGCAAAAAACAACUUAUGUGUAAAGUAUUCCAAUUGAGAUCGAACGCAGACACACACGGCAGACACACAAAACUCAUCAGCGGCAGCGGCGGCAGAAGCGAAAACUCCCAUAUAGGCAAGUAGGAACCCUUUUAAACCGACGCUAUGAAAUGUCUUUCCAAUGGCAAAAGGAGAAAUCAUAGUUUCUUAACUUCUUUCAUCUUUCAGAAAUAACGAUGUUUAACCUAUUGUGAUCCAGAAUGCUUUGCCAUUGGUUAACAAUUUAAGAAAACACUUCAUAGCGCUUAGUGCCCUCCAAGAAUCCCGAUUCCAACUCACCUGGAAAGCCGAAUAACGACCCGCCCUUCUAGGCCGAUUAUAGCUUGGCAAGUAGCGGCGGAUUGGAUCCAGUUCAUUGAUGUGUAGGAGUCCUGCGGUCAGCAGCUGGGCUAUGAUAAAGAAGGACUGCCCCCAGAGGAACAGCGAUUGCGAUGGAGCACGCAUGUAGGAGCCAUCUCCAUCCGGCGCAUAGUACAUGGUCACUACGGGAUCUCCAUUGACAUCAGUACGCAAACAGCGCCUCAAAUCGUUUUGGAACUCUUCAAUUUGUUCAUUGUUAUUCUUGAACACGCCAUCGAUAAUCAUGGCUAUGAAAAAGAGCGGCCAUUCACAUUCCAGGCCUUCGAAUUCCUUUAGCUCGCCAGAGUGAUAAUAGCGUCGCGAUUUGUCCUCGUUUUUGCUGAGGAAUCCAUCACGGGUGAAGCGCUUAAAGCCCAUUUUGCAGCGCAAACGAUUUACAACAUUUUGUUUGGUCUGCUCCACCAGGCGAUCUUCAUGCGAGGCAAAGGCUGGGAAAGAAAGGGUGAGAAGCAGUGAAGCAUCAACUCCCUAAAAGUUGAAACUUUAAUUAAAUGAUGCAAACUACAAGUAAAAUAUUUUAGCACAACCUUUGAGCUUGAUUCCCUGGGCAGCAUGGUUUCGAAAAUACUGCGAUUCCGGUUGUGGGCAUCAAUGUCCACAUAGACAACGCUCCAUGAAGCUCCUUUCUCGCCGAACAGAUUGCACCCGUUAAUGGCCUCCAAGGCGGACUUAGCCAUGCCAAUGGAGGAGGCAUGGAUCUCCGGGGUGCCAUUGUUAUAUUUAGAGCCCCGCUCCCACAUGCCAAAGUCGGGCGUACGAUAGGCGCGCUCCACAUAGUACACUAGAUUCUGGACAAAGGCCACCUCGUCGUGGGUGUAAAUGAUCUGCAGGCCAGAGGUUAUCAUCUGGACGAGGAACAACAGAUAGAGAGAAACCUAGGAGGAGAAGUUCAAUGCAUUUUAAAACUCUUCGAUAAGAAAUCCCCUAGAACUCACGCAAUCUAUCUGUAGGUGAUUGUAAAACUCAUCCGGAUAUAUCUUCUCUCCGGUGUGCAGCUGGAAUUUGCUAUGCAGUGCGUGCUGAUUGGACUGGCGCUGCUUAAAGAGCUCCACCCGCGAUGCCUGCUUGACCCAGCACUCAAGAAUGCCUCGCAUGCACUUCACAGUGCUCUGGCCCAGUUCGUAGGACUUUCCGCGGUCAUCGUCGAUCCGUCUGUACGCCUGGUACAAGCUCCACACGGCGGAUGCGCAAUACACACUGUCCCGCACCGAUCCCACCACCUGGUCGGUGCUCAUCACCGGAAACAAACCGGUGAUGGGACUCUGGUAUCGCAGCAGUUGACGCUUGACUGAGGGAAGAGAAAGUGUUAGAUUCACCCGGUUAUCGCGUCUUAAUUGGCUAUGCAAAUAAACAAACGAUUCUGUUUACAAUCAAGUGUGGGGCGUCGACAUUUCGCGAUGUGCGAUGCUUAUUAAUAGACGCCGUCAAUUGGUGCUCAAUUGGCCGCCCCACAGACGACUCCAAGGUUAUAUAAAUCCUCACCAAUGCCAUAGUAGAUGUCCAGCUGCUUCACCGUGUCCUCGUAGUUGGACGUUUUCAGGAACUGGUCCAGAUUGAUCUCCUCCAAGCUGUUGUGGCGACCACUGUCCGGAGCACCCGAACUGCCGCCUGGAGUUGUGACCGAGAGACCGAGACUGGAAGUGGAAAUAUCCUCGCCAUUAAUAUGGGAUUAUUUUCGAUGUUUUCAUACUUACGAUUUCGGCACAUCGCGCAUUGUUUCUUCAGCAAUUGCAAAUUAUAUUGCAAUUGCGCUUAAGAAAAUGUAUCAAAGUCAAAAAAAAGUCAAACGCUUCUAACAGCUGAGCAGCUUUUCAUUGCGAUCUGGCAAUGCUCUAAGCUAAAAUCGAUUGUUGAAGACCAAUCGUUAAAGGCAGAGCGGGUGAUUUAAAUCGGAUGCGCAAUUUAAGAAACAUAUUAAGUUCUCGUUAUUGUUUGAAGUUGAAAUAAU
ensembl:ncRNA asRNA:CR44116 antisense RNA:CR44116